UACGUAGGGCGCAAGCGUUAUCCGGAAUUAUUGGGCGUAAAGAGCUCGUAGGCGGUUUGUCGCGUCUGCCGUGAAAGUCCGGGGGCUCAACCCCGGAUCUGCGGUGGGUACGGGCAGACUAGAGUGAUGUAGGGGAGACUGGAAUUCCCGGUGUAGCGGUGGAAUGCGUAGAGAUCGGGGAAGAAUACCCGUGGCGAAGGCGGCCAGCUGGGCCAGGUCCGACACUGAGGCGCGAAAGCGUGGGGAGCAAACAGG
rnacentral:rRNA from 1 species